AGUGAACGCUGGCGGUAGGCCUAACACAUGCAAGUCGAACGGCAGCACAGUAAGGGCUUGCUCUUACGGGUGGCGAGUGGCGGACGGGUGAGGAAUACAUCGGAAUCUACUUUUUCGUGGGGGAUAACGUAGGGAAACUUACGCUAAUACCGCAUACGACCUACGGGUGAAAGCAGGGGAUCUUCGGACCUUGCGCGAUUGAAUGAACCGAUGUCGGAUUAGCUAGUUGGCGGGGUAAAGGCCCACCAAGGCGACGAUCCGUAGCUGGUCUGAGAGGAUGAUCAGCCACACUGGAACUGAGACACGGUCCAGACUCCUACGGGAGGCAGCAGUGGGGAAUAUUGGACAAUGGGCGCAAGCCUGAUCCAGCCAUACCGCGUGGGUGAAGAAGGCCUUCGGGUUGUAAAGCCCUUUUGUUGGGAAAGAAAAGCAGCAGGUUAAUACCCCGCUGUUCUGACGGUACCCAAAGAAUAAGCACCGGCUAACUUCGUG
rnacentral:rRNA from 1 species